AGAGUUUGAUCCUGGCUCAGAAUGAACGCUGGCGGCGUGCCUAACACAUGCAAGUCGGAUGUGCCGCAAGGUGCAUGGCAGACGGGUGAGUAACGCGUGGGGAACCUACCUCUUUGUGGGGAAUAACGCUCCGAAAGGAGUGGUAAUACCGCAUGUGAUCAUUGGCUGGGAUGCUGGUGAUGAAAGCUGGGGAUCGAAAGACCUAGCGCAAGGAGAGGGUCCUGCGUCUGAUUAGCUAGUUGGUGGGGUAACGGCCUACCAAGGCGACGAUCAGUAGCCGGCCUGAGAGGGUGAUCGGCCACACUGGAACUGAGACACGGUCCAGACUCCUACGGGAGGCAGCAGUGGGGAAUUUUGCGCAAUGGACGAAAGUCUGACGCAGCAACGCCGCGUGGGUGAUGAAGGUCUUCGGAUCGUAAAACCCUGUCGUCAGGGACGAAGGUUGUGUUCUUAAUACGGAUGCAGCUUGACGGUACCUGGAGAGGAAGCCCCGGCUAACUCUGUGCCAGCAGCCGCGGUAAUACAGAGGGGGCAAGCGUUAUUCGGAAUUAUUGGGCGUAAAGGGUGCGUAGGCGGUGGUUUAAGUGAGAUGUGUAAUCCCCGGGCUUAACCUGGGAACUGCAUCUCAUACUGGAUCGCUAGAGUGCUGGAGAGGGUGGUAGAAUUCCACGUGUAGCGGUGAAAUGCGUAGAGAUGUGGAGGAAUACCAGUGGCGAAGGCGGCCACCUGGACAGUAACUGACGCUGAGGCACGAAAGUGUGGGUAGCAAACAGGAUUAGAUACCCUGGUAGUCCACGCUGUAAACGAUGAACACUUGGUGUGGUGGGAGUUGACCCCUGCCGUGCCGUAGCUAAGCGCGAUAAGUGUUCCGCCUGGGGAGUACGGUCGCAAGGCUGAAACUCAAAUGAAUUGACGG
rnacentral:rRNA from 1 species